UGCUCGGAGACAGAAGCUAUCGAUUAAGUAUGGACCGCGUAGGAGUGGCUUAUGUAUACAUAUAUACAUAUAUACGUACGUAUAGCUAUCGGUUUCGUGUUUGUUAAAUAAACUGGAACGAAGCUGGAAAACUGAUGGGAAAAUGAUUUCUUUGAUUUGAAACUAUCUUUCCAUCUUUCUCUCUCUCUCUCUUUCUCUCUUACCCUCUCUCCCUUUCUAUCUCUUUCUCUCUCUCUCUCUCUCUCUCUCUUUUCCAUCAUAAAAUUCUAAAACUGAAAUAACAGGGUUAAAUCUUUUAUUUCUAUUCCAUUUCGUCUAAGUGACAAAACUCGAUUCGAAUUUAUGUCACCAUAAAUGAUAGAGUGACGUUGAUUUCAUGUGAAAAUACUCAAUGUUGAAAGUAAAAAGAACAAGAAAAAAAAUAUGAAAAGAGAGUAAGAGAGAGAGAGAGAGAGAGGGAGGGAAGGAAAGAGAGAAAAAAUAAAAGAGAGCAAUUCGAUGAGGCAAAAUUUAAGCGUACUUCCUUCGAGGAAAUCGGAUAAGAAUCUGGAACAUAAGCGUGACUGCCUUGCAAACGUCUCUCCGCCUAUUGCGUGUCGCCGUUACAUGGGUGCCGAGGGGUGAAUCGACGAACGGAAAAGCCACGUUACGUGAGCAUGUUCUAAGGAACAGAACGCGUGCGGCUCUGACAUUACAAAAUUACGCGUACGACGAGCUUCGUGUGAUAAAAAGUUCGCGCAAGUUUUACUCUCGUACGAAAACGUUGAAAACUAAUUAAUCGUCUUAUUAACAGUUAAAAAUGUAUUUAUGUAUUAUCGGCAAGUUGAAAAAUAAUAAUUUAUAAUGGAUCCUUGAAAUAAUUCGUAGAAAAUUCUAUCCCCUUGAAAGUUUAACUUUAAGGACAAUCUUCUUUUUUUUUUCCCCCAUAUAAAUUUUAUUCCAAUCUAAAUGGGAUCUAUUUUUAAAGUAAGAUUUGAUAGUAAAUUUUUAGAGGAUCUUUUUUUUUUUAAAGUUAGUAUCGCGAAUGAUAUACCACGUAGGAUUUACUUCACUAACCCUCCUCCCCCCACCUCCCGGACAAAAAAAUCGAAUUAGAAUAAUUUGUUAGGAGGAAAAACUUGGUCCGAUGGAAUUGAAACGUCUGACUCAUCGGCUGGAAGUUUAGUGCGAUCAACGGAGUCGAAGGGUCUGAGAUUAUUAAGAGACACCCUCACCUCCCUCCCUCUCUCUCUCUCUCUCUCUCUCUUUCUCAAUUCCUCUUGCCCCCUUAGAGAAGAGUCUCGGAUUCCAGUGGAUUCUCUCCGUGGACCGUCGCUCUUGGCGCCGAGAGUCAUUUGUCAAGAGACGUUGGUGACGAUGGGAAGCCACCCUCUUCAAAAGCAGUCCUACCAACCUUAUUCUUGUCCCUUGUCCUUACGACAAGGCAAUUUAUAAUUCAUCUCUUUGGUGUUUUAUUUCAUUCGUGGAACUCGAUCUUCAAUUCUUUCCUCUUUGAAGGAUCGUCUUUGAAGAUUAUCAGUGUUAGAGGGAGAGAGAGAGAGAGAGAGAGAGAAAAUGUGCCUUCGAGCUAGCCAAAAUCUCCUUAAUAAUUUUGUCUCAGAGCAUGUAGCCCUUUUGAACCUUACAGAAAGUCACUUCGACUUUCUAGCUUGUAGCGAGUAAAGUCUUUGCGAACGGAAUAUGAAGAUAGAUAGAGUGAGAGCGUGAGAAAGAGAGAUUGUGUGUACAUGUGUGAAGAGAGAGAGAGAGAAAGAGAGAGCGAAAAUAAGAAAAAGAAAGGGCAUGGGAGAGGUGGUCGAAGCUUUGAUUACUUUACUACUUGAAAAAGUCCAGAAAAAAAAAUCUUUAUUCGAAAAACGAAAUGCCAACUUUGAUGACGAUUAUUCUUUACUUCGUCGCGAAGGAAAGAGGCAGGCUGAGUGGACGUUAAAUAUUAAAAUUGCAUCGUACGUCUUUGAGAAGAUGAGAAAGAUGAAUAUAAAAAAAAAGAAGAAAGGAAAAAGGAAAGGAAAAUGAAAAAAAGAAGGAAAAGAGAAAGGGAAAAAGGGAAGAGGAAGGAGAAGAUUCAGCAGACAUGUACGUGCAUUUACUUCUUUCCAAGAGCAGAAAAGAAUGAGAGAGAAAGAGAGAGAGAGAGAGAGACCAUCGUGAGAACAAUGUGGAAGAUGGAAGCUCGAGACGAGUUCUUAACGAAAUAACGUCGGAAAUUGAAAAGUGCCGAGGAGAAUUUCUCUCGUGAGUAUCGGUUCUUCCUGCACGUAGGUAUGUACCUACGACUUUUCGAUGGCAAAGAGAAAAUAAAAAGAAAGAGAGAGAGAGAGAGAGAGAGAGUGAACUACGAAGAUCAAAGUUCGUAUUUUGUAGCUUAUGUUGGAAUAUCUCUGAUAAGGAAAUAACAUCUUAAAGCGUCGAUUUAUUUCGAAACUCGUCGUAUGCUGGCAAAGAUAUCAUGUUUGGUAUGAAAGCAUCUACAGAAAAUACGACUAUGAUUCUUCAGGGAGAAAAAAAAGGAAAAAUAAAAAAAAAAGGAAACAGGACAAGGAAAACUCUUUCGAGUUUCAUGAUUUUUAUUUGUAAAAAUUUUCAAGAAAGAAAGAAAGAAAAAAGAAAAGUUUAUAGUUAAAUUUUAAAAAGUUAUAUAAGACAGAAAAAUGUAUUAUUUCUUUUUUUUUUUUUUUUCUCUCUUGGCAUUAUGGUAUUAACGAUGUCUCUAGUUAAAAGUUGACAUCCCCGUAGACGUCCAGGACGUUUGUCUUCGAAGGACACUCUCAAACCGGACGUUGCAGUGGCUUUCCUGUCCCAGUGGAUGCGUUCGGAGGACUUCGUUAUCCUUUCCUUACCCAGAAAGCCAUCGUACCGUAAUACGAAAACGGACGGACGCUGCGAAAAGGGUGUAGAGAGAAAGAAGAUAGGAUAAAAAAAAAAACUAAACAAAAAUAGUAAAACUAAAAAAAAAGAAAAAGAAAAAGGAAGAAACUAUAAAGAUAAUAAAAAAAAAAGGAAGAAAAAGAAGAAGCAAAAAGAUACGAGAAAAUACGGAAAGGUAGGAAGGAAGGAAGGAAGGAAGGAAGGAAGGAAGGAAGGAAGGAAGAAAGAAAAGGAAGAAAAGGAGGGACGAGCGCGUCCUCGAAACCACGUAAUUUGCCCUGCCAACCAGGAAUUUCUCGCGAAACUUUCGACUCUGUUUCCUCUACUUCUACUUUUCUCCACAAAAUAUUCUUCAAAACGCGAUGGCAAAGGAGAAAAUCGACUUUAUAACAGGGAGCCAACACGAAGCACCUUUCAUUUCCUGUCUUUCCACACGGACGAAUUGUCUUACAGAUGGACGUCAUCAUUUCAACCCUGGCUUUAAGCUCGUGCGAUCUAAAAUGAUUUCUUCUAUAAAUUCGAACGUAAUCAUUCAGAACGGAACAGAAAGAGGAUACUUAUCUCAAAAAGGAGCAUCUGAAAUAUUCGCGCAUUGAAGGAAAACUUGGAUGUGUACAGACGUCCACGUGCAGUAUACUCGGCUGCUUUUCUUGCUGCCUCUCGAACGUCUCUUCUUGAAGUUUUUACGGCCAAUGCUCUUGGAAAGGACACUAUAUUCAUGAGACUUUGUCCGACUCACUGGGGAAUCGUUUCGUUGGCUGUUUGAAGAUGAAUAAAUAGAUAAUUAAAAGACAGAAAAAAAACUGCAUACUCUCGAAAUUACACGAAAAAUUAAUUCGAAUAAAAAUUCAAGCUAAAUCAUAUUUGAAAUUUCGAUGUUUCUUCGAAAAGCGAUUAUAUUGAUAGGUCGUAGCUUAUGAAAAUUGUUCGCCUAAUAGUAAAGAAUACUGCUAUUGUAUUACUUUUACAGAAACGAA